rnacentral:rRNA from 1 species
CACGUAGGGCGCGAGCGUUGUCCGGAAUUAUUGGGCGUAAAGAGCUCGUAGGCGGCCUGUUGCGUCCGCUGUGAAAGCCCGGGGCUUAACCCCGGGUCGGCAGUGGAUACGGGCAGGCUAGAGGUAGGUAGGGGAGAAUGGAAUUCCUGGUGUAGCGGUGAAAUGCGCAGAUAUCAGGAGGAACACCGGUGGCGAAGGCGGUUCUCUGGGCCUUACCUGACACUGAGGAGCGAAAGCGUGGGGAGCGAACAGG